UACGUAGGGGGCAAGCGUUGUCCGGAAUCAUUGGGCGUAAAGCGCGUGUAGGCGGCCCGGUAAGUCCGCUGUGAAAGUCCAGGGCUCAACCCUGGGAUGCCGGUGGAUACUGUCGGGCUCGAGUCCGGAAGAGGAGUGUGGAAUUCCUGGUGUAGCGGUGAAAUGCGCAGAUAUCAGGAGGAACACCAAUGGCGAAGGCAGCACUCUGGGACGUGACUGACGCUGAGACGCGAAAGCGUGGGGAGCAAACAG
rnacentral:rRNA from 1 species